rnacentral:rRNA from 1 species
CCUACGGGAGGCAGCAGUGGGGAAUCUUGGACAAUGGGGGAAACCCUGAUCCAGCCAUGCCGCGUGAGUGAUGAAGGCCCUAGGGUUGUAAAGCUCUUUUGUGCGGGAAGAUAAUGACGGUACCGCAAGAAUAAGCCCCGGCUAACUUCGUGCCAGCAGCCGCGGUAAU